rnacentral:rRNA from 1 species
GAUUAAGUUAUUAAGGGCGCACGGUGGAUGCCUUGGCACUAGAAGCCGAUGAAGGACGUUACUAACGACGAUAUGCUUUGGGGAGCUGUAAGUAAGCUUUGAUCCAGAGAUUUCCGAAUGGGGAAACCCAGCAUGAGUUAUGUCAUGUUAUCGAUAUGUGAAUACAUAGCAUAUCAGAAGGCACACCCGGAGAACUGAAACAUCUUAGUACCCGGAGGAAGAGAAAGAAAAUUCGAUUCCCUUAGUAGCGGCGAGCGAAACGGGAAGAGCCCAAACCAACAAGCUUGCUUGUUGGGGUUGUAGGACACUCUAUACGGAGUUACAAAGGACGACAUUAGACGAAUCAUCUGGAAAGAUGAAUCAAAGAAGGUAAUAAUCCUGUAGUCGAAAAUGUUGUCUCUCUUGAGUGGAUCCUGAGUACGACGGAGCACGUGAAAUUCCGUCGGAAUCUGGGAGGACCAUCUCCUAAGGCUAAAUACUCUCUAGUGACCGAUAGUGAACCAGUACCGUGAGGGAAAGGUGAAAAGCACCCCGGAAGGGGAGUGAAAUAGAACCUGAAACCGUGUGCUUACAAGUAGUCAGAGCCCGUUAAUGGGUGAUGGCGUGCCUUUUGUAGAAUGAACCGGCGAGUUACGAUUUGAUGCAAGGUUAAGCAGUAAAUGUGGAGCCGUAGCGAAAGCGAGUCUGAAUAGGGCGAAUGAGUAUCUGGUCGUAGACCCGAAACCAAGUGAUCUACCCAUGUCCAGGUUGAAGUUCAGGUAACACUGAAUGGAGGACCGAACCGACUUACGUUGAAAAGUGAGCGGAUGAGGUGUGGGUAGCGGAGAAAUUCCAAUCGAACUUGGAGAUAGCU